GGCAGGCCUAACACAUGCAAGUCGAACGGUAACAGGAAGCAGCUUGCUGCUUCGCUGACGAGUGGCGGACGGGUGAGUAAUGUCUGGGAAACUGCCUGAUGGAGGGGGAUAACUACUGGAAACGGUAGCUAAUACCGCAUAACGUCGCAAGACCAAAGAGGGGGACCUUCGGGCCUCUUGCCAUCGGAUGUGCCCAGAUGGGAUUAGCUAGUAGGUGGGGUAACGGCUCACCUAGGCGACGAUCCCUAGCUGGUCUGAGAGGAUGACCAGCCACACUGGAACUGAGACACGGUCCAGACUCCUACGGGAGGCAGCAGUGGGGAAUAUUGCACAAUGGGCGCAAGCCUGAUGCAGCCAUGCCGCGUGUAUGAAGAAGGCCCUCGGGUUGUAAAGUACUUUCAGCGGGGAGGAAGGCGAUAAGGUUAAUAACCUUGUCGAUUGACGUUACCCGCAGAAGAAGCACCGGCUAACUCCGUGCCAGCAGCCGCGGUAAUACGGAGGGUGCAAGCGUUAAUCGGAAUUACUGGGCGUAAAGCGCACGCAGGCGGUCUGUCAAGUCGGAUGUGAAAUCCCCGGGCUCAACCUGGGAACUGCAUUCGAAACUGGCAGGCUAGAGUCUUGUAGAGGGGGGUAGAAUUCCAGGUGUAGCGGUGAAAUGCGUAGAGAUCUGGAGGAAUACCGGUGGCGAAGGCGGCCCCCUGGACAAAGACUGACGCUCAGGUGCGAAAGCGUGGGGAGCAAACAGGAUUAGAUACCCCGGUAGUCCACGCCGUAAACGAUGUCGACUUGGAGGUUGUGCCCUUGAGGCGUGGCUUCCGGAGCUAACGCGUUAAGUCGACCGCCUGGGGAGUACGGCCGCAAGGUUAAAACUCAAAUGAAUUGACGGGGGCCCGCACAAGCGGUGGAGCAUGUGGUUUAAUUCGAUGCAACGCGAAGAACCUUACCUACUCUUGACAUCCAGAGAACUUUCCAGAGAUGGAUUGGUGCCUUCGGGAACUCUGAGACAGGUGCUGCAUGGCUGUCGUCAGCUCGUGUUGUGAAAUGUUGGGUUAAGUCCCGCAACGAGCGCAACCCUUAUCCUUUGUUGCCAGCGGUCCGGCCGGGAACUCAAAGGAGACUGCCAGUGAUAAACUGGAGGAAGGUGGGGAUGACGUCAAGUCAUCAUGGCCCUUACGAGUAGGGCUACACACGUGCUACAAUGGCGCAUACAAAGAGAAGCGACCUCGCGAGAGCAAGCGGACCUCAUAAAGUGCGUCGUAGUCCGGAUUGGAGUCUGCAACUCGACUCCAUGAAGUCGGAAUCGCUAGUAAUCGUGGAUCAGAAUGCCACGGUGAAUACGUUCCCGGGCCUUGUACACACCGCCCGUCACACCAUGGGAGUGGGUUGCAAAAGAAGUAGGUAGCUUAACCUUCGGGAGGGCGCUUACCACUUUGUGAUUCAUGACUGGGGUG
rnacentral:rRNA from 1 species